CAGCCUGCCCAUCACCACGGCAUGUUUUUGUCGCAAUAGUCGCGCUCGUAGAGUAGCUCUCGUAGAGUAGCGACUGCAUAUUUACCCAGAAAUAGCCAUCUUCCAAGAGGCUUUUCCUUUAAAGGCGGGCGCAGAGGAUCCGCAUGGCCUCUACCAGCAGGUGACCCCAACAUCCGCAUGAAAGGAGACGAACGCGGUUGGUUUGGAUGCUAUGGGGCGUCCAGAAUGAGCGAGCGGGCUUUCAAGGAUCCAGAAAGGGAGACAGAGAGAGAAAUGGAGAAAGAGAGAUAGACAUAGAAACACAGUGAGGGAGGGAAAAAGCAUAGCGAUGUGCUGUACUGUAUGAAGUGGUGCAGAGAGAGAGACUAGGAGAGAGAAUAAAUUGAAGACACACGGUCACAGAGGCCAGGGGAUGGUGCACGAGGGGGCCGUGGUGUCAAAUGCCUCCAGUCACGUGCACACGUAUGUGUGAGAGCAUGCACGUAAAGACGUGCACUAGACACAGCACCGCCCCGCAGAGAAGGUGGUGGAGCUGAGAGGGCACAGCGAGACACCAAACCUGACCAGAGUUAGCGCUCAGAGCUAGGCAAGCCGCUCGUUCUGUAUAGGAACAGAGUUAGCACUGAGAGCUAACACAAGCUAAGGCCUCCGUCGAAACAGAGGUCAGAGAGAGAGAGAGAGAGAG